rnacentral:sRNA from 1 species
ACAUCAUGAAUGCUUGUGGAAUAUUA